AUUGAACGCUGGCGGCAGGCCUAACACAUGCAAGUCGAACGAGUGGCGGACGGGUGAGUAAUGUCUGGGAAACUGCCUGAUGGCGGGGGAUAACUACUGGAAACGGUAGCUAAUAACGCAUACCAUCGGAUGUGCCCAGAUGGGAUUAGCCAGUAGGUGGGGUAAAGGCUCACCUGGGCGACGAUCCCUAGCUGGUCUGAGAGGAUGACCAGUCACACUGGAACUGUGACACGGUCGAGACGCCUACGGAAGGCAGCGGUGGGGAAUAUUGGACAGUGGGCGCAAGCCUGAUGAAGCCAUGCCGCGUGUAGGAAGAAGGCGUUCGGGUUGUAAGGGAUUUUCAGCGGGGAGGCGUUACCCGCAGAAGAAGCACCGGCUAACUCCGUGCCAGCAGCCGCGGUAAUAC
rnacentral:rRNA from 1 species